GGUUUGAGGUGCCACCUUACAUACAAAAGGAUGGGUGUACACUCUCUUUUCAGAAUAUGGUUCAUCUCAAAGCCCUUUACCCUUUGGAGCCAGGCCUGUUCGAUUUUACAAAUAGCACGUUUUGCUUGUAGUCAGGGUGCUGUGACAACAUGAAAAGUUCAAGCUACCUCCCAGGAUGAGUGCAGGUAAUUAUCCAAGUAGAGCUUAGGCUUUCUCUAGGGAAAAUAGUCAAGACAGACAUUGAAGCAGCACAACACUUUUGCUGCUUGUUAUUUGUAUUUCUAGAGGACACAUUAUGUUAAGGCCUUUGUUCU
ensembl:processed_transcript